rnacentral:lncRNA from 1 species
GUCCUGGAUUCUGCUUUAUGGCCCUCAGUCGAAUUCUUUCUUCUGAGGAGGCAAGGACUGAAGUUGCUUCUGACCAGUACAGUUUCCCUGACUCUUAGAGCCUUGGAGCAGUGUGUGUCAUGUGCUGCACACCCAGGCUGGAACAGCCUGUCUCCAGCAGAAAACGAAUACAGCAGGGAUGACUUCCACCAGCUCCACUUUGCAGCUCUGAGGUGUAUUAAAAAUGACCUGGAAGAAGUCAUGCCACGGGCCAGACCUUAACAUUCCUUUCUGCUUACCCCAGGAUUUCAGACAAAGCUUCACUUUCCUAACCAGUCACAAAUCAGAGAAUUUUUGAAUCCACCUAUGACCUGUGAGCUCCUGCUUCAAGAUAUUCCACCUUUUUUAGGCCAAACCAAUGUAUAACCUCCAAGUGUCGAUUUACACUUUUGACUGUAACUUCUGCUUUCCUGAGAUUUACCCCUGCCUUUAAAAACCCUUGCUUGUAAUCCAUCAGGGAGGCCGUGUAUUUAUUAAUCAUGAGCUGCCCAAUUCUCCUUGCUUGGUGCCCUGCAAAUAAACACC